GACGAACGCUGGCGGCGUGCUUAACACAUGCAAGUCGAACGGUGACCCCUCUUCGGAGGGUGAUCAGUGGCGAACGGGUGAGUAACACGUGAGCAACCUGCCCCUGGCUCUGGGACAACCACUGGAAACGGUGGCUAAUACCGGAUACGACCUACCACCGCAUGGUGUGUGGGUGGAAAGUUUUUCGGCUGGGGAUCGGCUCGCGGCCUAUCAGCUUGUUGGUGGGGUGAUGGCCUACCAAGGCGACGACGGGUAGCCGGCCUGAGAGGGCGACCGGCCACACUGGGACUGAGACACGGCCCAGACUCCUACGGGAGGCAGCAGUGGGGAAUAUUGCACAAUGGGCGCAAGCCUGAUGCAGCGACGCCGCGUGAGGGAUGACGGCCUUCGGGUUGUAAACCUCUUUCAGCUCCGAAGAAGCGCAAGUGACGGUAGGAGCAGAAGAAGCACCGGCUAACUACGUGCCAGCCGCCGCGGUAA
rnacentral:rRNA from 1 species